GAUGAAGAACGCAGCGAAAUGCGAUAAGUAGUGUGAAUUGCAGAAUUCAGUGAAUCAUCGAAUCUUUGAACGCACAUUGCGCCCCUUGGUACUCCAUGGGGCAUGCCUGUUCGAGCGUCAUUUACACCCUCAAGCUCUGCUUGGUGUUGGGCGUCUGUCCCGCUUCGUGCGCGGACUCGCCUCAAAUGCAUUGGCAGCGGUCUUGCCAGCUUCUCGCGCAGCACAUUGCGCUUCUAGAGGCUUUGGCGGAUCGGCGUCCAACAAGUACACCCACAGUUUGACCUCGGAUCAGGUAGGGAUACCCGCUGAACUUAAGCAUAUCAAUAAGCGGAGGA
rnacentral:misc_RNA from 1 species